AUUGUUUUAUUGCACGCAGUAGUUUUUAAAAUGGCUUCAAUCAUCUAUCAUCCAUAUCGAUCCAUAUUGCGGCGACGGGCGAACUACCGACUCAUAAAGCCGAACCGAGACACCCGGAAGUGUGACGUAAAGGGGCGGGGGAAAACCGCAAUGCAUUGUGGGUUUAGGGGGCAAUUGAAAAGUUUGUUUACGCCGGCUGCGUGCGAGACGCUGCUGUCGUGUUGUUGUUUUUGUUUAAACAAGUCAAAACAUUGGGGCAAACAUCCUUCGCUUCGGUAAAAACAAACAAUUGAGUGAGAGUUUUAUUAUUUCCGACGUGGAAGCAAAGCCAGGGACCUCGGCUGAUACUGGUGUCUCCAUGCAACUGACCGGCGUUUACGUUCAGAAAAGUUUUUUUCCGACAUUUUGCUACAUCAUGUUCGAGUUCAUUACAGUCAUCCUCCGCUGUCUCUGAGCAUCAGCUGCUGACGAGAUGGCGUCUCUUUUCGAUGCCAGGGAUCCAUUUGGCCGUGCAGGAAUGUAAAGGCUGCGAAAUUACACAACAGGUCUUUUAACACUCCAGUCAAAGGAGAAGAAGAAAAUAUGUCCGCACCUGUUCACUCUGAGAGGGAAGUAGAACGUCUCUGAUGACUGACGAAGGACAUCCAGUGCAUCCACUGUCCAUGCUGAUACAGGAACACAUGCCGCCACAUGCCAUCACGCUGUACAAUAACAGCUAAAGCUACAAAAUGUCUUCACAAGAAAUUUUGAGUGGGCCAAUGGCGCUCGACGGGGCUCUGCUGCCGGCCGGGACCCUGCCUGCCUGGCUGGAAACAUUCCUUGGUCUGUGCCACGACGUUGUGGAGAUACUCCUUCGUCCAGCGGCUCCAGAACUGCUCUGCCAGGAACCUUGAGUAGAUCAUCUCUGCCUUAAAAAAAUGCAUCAAGGAAUUUAGGGCCCGUGAACCAGUUGGAUGAGAGCAGUUCUUCUACUGUUGUUCCCCUUGAUGCCUCGUCUGCAGGGUUUUCACAGGCAGAAAGGUAAAAUCACUACAGGGGUGUCAUGUUAUGAUGGAUCUUUUGCACCCUGUUAGAGACGAAUAUGUGAAAAUGUCUUGUUGACAUCAGUUUCUCUCGAACUUACUUGUUAAUCGCUCAUUGAGGUUGGUUCCCUCAUGCUCAUGUCAAAAACUUUUCAGGCUUCUUUGGGUGAUAGAUGCCAUUGUGUGGUAUGUACCAUGGAACCAGGCAGGAAGUCCAUCAUCUUCAGCUUUCUCUGCUUCACCUCUUUCAAUGUCUCGGUGAAUUUCCUUAAAGCAUCUUUUCUAAUUCUUUCAGAGCGACGAACCACCUCUGACAUGCCCUGGGCUCGGGCUUUGCAUUGUAGGUCAGUAUGUAGGUCAUGUAUGUGUAUAUAUAUAUAUGUAUAUGUGUGUGUAUA